UUCCGGUUGAUCCUGCCGGACCCCACUGCUAUCGAGGUGGGACUAAGCCAUGCCAGUCGAACGACCCGGACUAUGGCGGGGAGUGGCAGACUGCUCAGUAACACGUAGCUAACCUACCCUCGGGACGGGGAUAACCCCGGGAAACUGGGGCUAAUACCCGAUAGGUGUGGAUUCCUGGAAUGGUGCCAUGCCUAAACGUAAGCACAUCCAUGUUUGUGUGCACGCCCGAGGAUGGGGCUGCGGCCGAUCAGGCAGUUGGUGAGGUAACGGCUCACCAAACCUUUGACCGGUACGGGCCAUGAGAGUGGUAGCCCGGAGAUGGGCACUGAGACAAGGGCCCAGGCCCUACGGGGCGCAGCAGGCGCGAAACCUCCACAAUUCACGCAAGUGAGAUGGGGUUACCUCGAGUGCCAUCUGAAGAAGGUGGCUUUUCCAUGGUGUAGCUGUUUCUUAGUCUAAAAAACUGAGAGAGUAAGGGCUGGGUAAGACGGGUGCCAGCCGCCGCGGUAAUACCUGCAGCUCAAGUGGUGGCCGCUAUUAUUGGGCCUAAAACGUCCGUAGCCUGUUUAGUAAAUGCUUGGGUAAAUUGUGUAGCUUAACUAUACGAAUACCGGGUAGACUGCUAAACUUGGGACCGGGAGAGGCUAGAGGUACUCCUAGGGUAGAGGUGAAAUUCUGUAAUCCUAGGGGGACCACCAGUGGCGAAAGGCGUCUAGCUAGAACGGGUCUGACGGUGAGGGACGAAGCCCUGGGGCGCAAACCGGAUUAGAUACCCGGGUAGUCCAGGGUGUAAACGCUGCUUGCUUGAUGUUAGUUGGGCUCCGAGCCCAACUAGUGUCGGAGAGAAGUUGUUAAGCAAGCUGCCUGGGAAGUACGGCCGCAAGGCUGAAACUUAAGGAAUUGGCGGGGGAGCACCCACAAGGGGUGAAGCUUGCGUUUAAUGGAGUCACGCGGA
rnacentral:rRNA from 1 species